rnacentral:rRNA from 1 species
UACGAAGGGGGCUAGCGUUGCUCGGAAUCACUGGGCGUAAAGCGCACGUAGGCGGAUCUUUAAGUCAGGGGUGAAAUCCCGGAGCUCAACUCCGGAACUGCCUUUGAUACUGAGGGUCUCGAGUCCGGGAGAGGUGAGUGGAACUGCGAGUGUAGAGGUGAAAUUCGUAGAUAUUCGCAAGAACACCAGUGGCGAAGGCGGCUCACUGGCCCGGUACUGACGCUGAGGCGCGAAGGCGUGGGGAGCGAACGGG